rnacentral:rRNA from 1 species
GAUGAACGCUAGCUACAGGCUUAACACAUGCAAGUCGCGGGGCAGCAUGGGGGUUGCUUGCAAUCCCCGAUGGCGACCGGCGCACGGGUGAGUAACGCGUAUCCAACCUGCCCUUCACCACGGGAUAACCCGGCGAAAGUCGGACUAAUACCGUAUGUUGUCCAUUGACGGCAUCCGAUUUGGACGAAAGGCUUGGCGGUGAGGGAUGGGGAUGCGUCCGAUUAGCCAGACGGCGGGGUAACGGCCCACCGUGGCUACGAUCGGUAGGGGCUCUGAGAGGAAGGUCCCCCACACUGAACUGAGACACGGUCCAGACUCCUACGGGAGGCAGCAGUGAGGAAUAUGGGUCAAUGGGCGUAAGCCUGAACCAGCCAAGUAGCGUGCAGGAGGACGGCCCUAUGGGUUGUAAACUGCUUUUAUGCGGGGAUAAAGUGGCCCACGUGUGGGCUUUUGCAGGUACCGCAUGAAUAAGGACCGGCUAAUUCCGUG